rnacentral:piRNA from 1 species
UAAAUUUGAGGUGGACGUGGAGAGCCCAG